UACGGGGGGGGCAAGCGUUGUUCGGAAUUACUGGGCGUAAAGGGCUCGUAGGCGGCCAACUAAGUCAGACGUGAAAUCCCUCGGCUUAACCGGGGAACUGCGUCUGAUACUGGAUGGCUUGAGUCCGGGAGAGGGAUGCGGAAUUCCAGGUGUAGCGGUGAAAUGCGUAGAUAUCUGGAGGAACACCGGUGGCGAAGGCGGCAUCCUGGACCGGCACUGACGCUGAUGAGCGAAAGCCAGGGGAGCAAACGGGG
rnacentral:rRNA from 1 species